CUACUGCGCAGAACUGGUCCCAAGAUCGCUAUCUGCGCAGACGCAAGUCCAAGAUGUCAGCGCCGUAUCAGGACACUGGUGGCUUCAUUUUUCACUAAUGGAAAAGAGCGAAAGGGCGUCGUCCAUUAUUUAUACAGUCUAUGGUUCAUACCAGACCAGAAGUCAGUUGGCGGAAUCGUAGUUGAUCGGGCAUUCGGAACGAGCGCGCGAACUGAUGGUCUUUCUUUGGAUCAAUUCGGACUGCAAGCGUUGUGGAAGAGUUUAACGAGGCUGUACGGAAGAACCAAGCUGCUAGCAGUGCAUCGGACAACGAGAUUAACCAGCACGCCAUCCGCUGGUUCAACCUGGCCUCUGACCGUGGAGGUGGCCGCAAAGAACGUGCCAUGGCCAGAGAGGCCAUUCAUUAACCGUGAAAUGAACGCAUCGGCCAUCCCCCAAUCUUCCACCACUGAUGAUUUGUUGGGUGUUAUGUGAGAGUUGUGGCAUUCCCACUUCACUUGCCUCAUCAAUGUUUCCUGUAAAGCCACCAAAGAACGCGUAUGAACAUUUUGCAGUCUUUUCUGGGUUUCGUAUGACUAGAGUUGGAUAUUGUAUUUUGGCUAUAAAACCUUUGUUAUUCAUACCAUGGUCAUGGAAAAUUGUUAAAAUCUAAAUGGCUGGCAGGUAUUAUCUUUUAAGACAAACUUAUCGCUAAUUAAAACGUUACAUCUUGUGUGUUUAGGCUGUAGAAUCUCGUUUCUCUGCUGGCUUUAGCUUUUUUUUCUGCUUUAAUUUAAAAAAUAACAAAAAAAAUAACACCUGUGUCAUAGGUAUGUGGUUGUAAAGAAGUUUCUUAUUCCUACAGUUGUUAAAGACAGAAAUGAGCUGUAAAAUGUGUUUCUGUCCUGUCUUUUUAUCUCAGACAUUUUGAAUAAAAUUUAAAAUGUGUCACUCAUCUGUUCUAUCAAAACAAGAAGUCUUAAGAUGGUGGGGGAAGGGGAUUAGGGUAGUAAUAUUUACUCAUUACCAUUGACGGCAAAGUUGCCCAGUACGAUUGCUCUAAAAGUUGCUCCGUGUAUCAUCAGCUUUAGUGUACCUUGGUAAAUACAAGUCAUAAUAUUUGUUAUACAUUAUAUAGACCAGUUAGUUAAUAGAAACAAAAAUCAACAGAUUAAUUGAGAAUGAAAGUAACUGUUAGUAGCAGACUUCCAUCCUAUAAUUGUAACAGUGCAUGGGCAUUAGCGCCUGCCAUAAGUUCUGUGGUUGAAACUAUCCCAGUAACCCUUUGGCUUCUCAGACAGAAAUGGUAUACCUUCACUGAUAUCUGGUACUAGGACCCAUAGCACAAGCUGAAUCAUGCACAACAUCUAAAAAAAAUUAAACUAUCCCUUUAACUGAAAAAAAAAUCCGUAUUUUUGUAUAUGGUUUGUUUUGUGGUAUUAUGAGGCCAGAGAUGGUGUGAAUCCGGGCCAGAAUUAAUAAAUGGAGCUGGCCCAGUGCCAGUCCAGAUGUGGCCCAGAGUAUCUUGGAGACUCGGAUCCAGUAUCUGGCCCACCUUUGGGCCAAAUGACUAUAAAAUAAUUCUCAUCCGUUCUGGAGCUGUGCCAGUGCCGGCCCAGAUGUGAAAACCGGAUCCGCACCGGCAUUGGCCCGUUGUGCUAAAGGACACCGGCCCAGGUCCGUUUUACAGAUCUGGCCCAGAACUUAUGAAGGAUCUGGGCCAGAUCUGGGCCGCAUGAUUUUUGUUAUCUGGGUUACCCCCAGUUUAUUCUUGAAGUCAUAGAACUCAUGGGCAGCACUGGGGUAGGUGGGCCAUCUUUUGACUGCAGAAAUUACAAAAUUAAAGGUUUAAACGGAGGUUCAAAAGUCAACAUUCAAAUUGUGUUUGUGUUAGCACAGUCAAUUGACUUAGCUUUCAUGUAGCAAGCCAGCUAAAGUUAGCUGUUGUUAAUGUAUUAUCCUGUCCAAAAUGUACCUUUUGUCGCC
ensembl:lncRNA